AUUGAACGCUGGCGGCAGGCCUAACACAUGCAAGUCGAACGAGUGGCGGACGGGUGAGUAAUGUAUGGGAAACUGCCUGAUGGAGGGGGAUAACUACUGGAAACGGUAGCUAAUACCGCAUACCAUCAGAUGUGCCCAGAUGGGAUUGGCUUGUUGGUGGGGUAACGGCUCACCAAGGCGACGAUCCCUAGCUGGUCUGAGAGGAUGACCAGCCACACUGGAACUGAGACACGGUCCAGACUCCUACGGGAGGCAGCAGUGGGGAAUAUUGGGCAAUGGGCGAAAGCCUGAUGCAGCCAUGCCGCGUGUAUGAAGAAGGCCUUCGGGUUGUAAAGUACUGUCAGCAGGGAAGCGUUACCCGAAGAAAAAGCACCGGCUAACUCCGUGCCAGCAGCCGCGGUAAUAC
rnacentral:rRNA from 1 species